GGGACCCAAAGCUGCCCCAAAAUGCACAGGGAGGGGGGUGUGUAGAAUACUACAUCCUGUCAAGUGCUUCGUUUUUAUAGGUAUUGGUAAAAAUAGGAAUUUGUCUCUAAAUUCAUUUGGAAAGAAAGCCAGAGCAGCCCCAGGUGUGAACUGUGAGGAUAAGGAGGGGCCGGCUCCUGCCGGCGGCUGUUUUAGGGGCUUUGCCUCAGCUGAUUUUACAGGGAGCUGCUGGAGAAGAGGAGUUUAUGGGCGGCUCCUGGGGCUGUCCUUGCAGGGACGGUGACAGCUUCGGACAGGGUCUGCGGGAUCACCUGGAUACGCACUUGGAUACCUGGAGCAUUGCUCAGAGGAGGUGCCGAGGAACAAACCUUUGUGCCGGGUAGCGGCAGCCAAACAGGGGCUGAAACUGAAGGGGAGAACACAUUUAUUUGCCCUUGUUGAAGUGAGGCGAGCACCUGAGUGUGGCGUCCGUGCUGGAGAGUGGGAGAAGGGUCCCUGCUGGCUGCCGUGUCCUGGGUGGGCACAGAGCUCUGACCUUGGCCAGAUGGGCUGGUCUCCGGGUGUUUUGAUCCUGACGCUGAACUGGGGCUCUUACCUGUGUGACCUGUGAAAUGUCCCGGAAGCUGAUCGAUGUCUUUGUGCUCCCGCUGUGUUCAUUUGGGCUGUGCUUCAGGCUUCUCUCCCUGGGCCCUUGCCGUUGCUGUAUCUCUUGGAUGCCGUGCAGAACGGAAUCAGGCAGCCAAGCCUCAGGUUCACCUUCUCCCUCACCCUCUGCGCUGCUCGUGUGGCACAGCAGAUCCUGAAGCCAGGUACUGGAACGUGCUGCGUGUGUCACUGCUGGGGUGAAAAACAGAGCCCUGGGGAGUGUCGAUCCCCUCACCUGCUCUGUGCUCGUGCGCUCUUGCCUGAGCUUUUCCUCCUGGGCAAGAGAAGGGGAGGGUGGGCAGCA